rnacentral:rRNA from 1 species
UACGUAGGGGGCUAGCGUUGUCCGGAAUCAUUGGGCGUAAAGCGCGUGUAGGCGGCUCGAUAAGUCUGCUGUGAAAGUCCAGGGCUCAACCCUGGGAUGCCGGUGGAUACUGUCGAGCUCGAGUCCGGAAGAGGCGAGUGGAAUUCCUGGUGUAGCGGUGAAAUGCGCAGAUAUCAGGAGGAACACCAAUGGCGAAGGCGGCCAGCUAGACCAGUUCUGACACUGAGGCGCGACAGCGUGGGGAGCAAACAGG